rnacentral:misc_RNA from 1 species
GAAAUGCGAUAAGUAAUGUGAAUUGCAGAAUUCAGUGAAUCAACGAAUCUUUGAACGCACAUUGCGCCCGCCAGUAUUCUGGCGGGCAUGCCUGUCCGAGCGUCAUUUCAACCAUCAAGCCCCCGGGCUUGUGUUGGGGACCUGCGGCUGCCCGCAGGCCCUGAAAACCAGUGGCGGGCUCGCUGUCACACCGAGCGUAGUAGCAAUCACCUCGCUCAGGGCGUGCUGCGGGUUCCGGCCGUUAAACAGCCUUACAAAACCCAAGGUUGACCUCGGAUCAGGUAGGAAGACCCGCUGAACUUAAGC